rnacentral:lncRNA from 1 species
CAAGGAGGCACAGAAACCCCGAAGCCAAGACAGCACUCCAGUUAGGUGUGGAGGAUUGGAAUUAUAUAUAAGUGGCAUAUAUACACACUACCACAAUGGUUGAAUUCAGGCAUUAAUCAGGGCUGCAUGCAGCUAAGCUUCAUUGCAGCUGCUGAGUUGGAGGGAACUGUUUCCUUUUUGGAGAAGUAGCAAAGUCAUGGGGAAGGAUAAGAACCUCCUUGG